CUUGAGCUCAGGCUUCCGGAUCUCUCUCGGCUGCUUUUUUCCACUGGUAACUUCUGAGGCUGAGAUCAGCAGCUGAUAGAACCAUGGCGACCAUUGCUGCUGCUGCGUUUGAGGCCCUCAUGGAUGGAGUGACAUGCUGGGAUGUCCCCAGAGGCCCCAUCCCCAGUGAACUCCUUCUUAUUGGAGAAGCCGCCUUCCCCGUGAUGGUGAAUGACAAGGGCCAGGAGGAUUCCCUGGGAGCACCCACCAGCUGAGAUCUGCACAUCAGCCACAAUCCUCUCAGGACGGCGGAAAGGGAAGGGCUCAGCCGCCAGCCUGGCCACAGCCUGCAUCAUCUCAUCCCAGAGGCGGAGCACAGGCUCGGGGUCCUUCAGGGCCUGAAGGUUUGUGGUUGGCACUGUCAGGAUGAUGUUGUCCGUGGCCAGCUCUCCCCAGGGAGCCAGGUUCUCCUGCAUCUGCCUCUUCCACUCCUCCAGCGAUGUCUUACCUGGGAAUAAAUAUCAUGGAACCUACCACACCCACUUCUCCAACUUCCCUUGAGCUGA
rnacentral:lncRNA from 1 species